rnacentral:rRNA from 1 species
UAGUUGCCAGCGAUUCGGUCGGGGGACUCUAGAGAUACUGCCCGGUUAACGGGGAGGAAGUGGGGAUGACGUCAAGUCCUCAUGGCCCUUAUGCCAGGGCUACACACGUGCUCAAUGGUUGGUACAACGAGUUGCGAGUCGGUGACGGCGAGCUAAUCUCUUAAAGCCAAUCUCAGUUCGGAUUGUAGGCUGCAACUCGCCUACAUGAAGUCGGAAUCGCUAGUAAUCGCGGAUCAGCACGCCGCGGUGAAUACGUUCCCGGGCCUU